UAACACGUAGGAACGUACCCCAAAGUGAGGGAUAAGCACCAGAAAUGGUGUCUAAUACCGCAUGUGAUCUAAGGAUUAAAGCUUUAUGCGCUUUGGGAACGGCCUGCGUAUGAUUAGUUUGUUGGUGAGGUAAUGGCUCACCAAGACUACGAUCAUUAGCUGGUCUGAGAGGAUGAUCAGCCAGACUGGGACUGAGACACGGCCCAG
rnacentral:rRNA from 1 species